GUCCUUGCCGUAAACGAUGUAUACUUGAUGUAGUUAGGCUCAACCCUGACUGUGUCGAAGCUAACGCGAUAAGUAUACCGCCUGGGGAGUACGCUCGCAAGGGUGAAACUCAAAAGAAUUGACGGGGGCCCGCACAAGCAGUGGAGCAUGUGGUUUAAUUCGAUGCAACGCGAAGAACCUUACCCAGGCUCGAAAUGUAACGGACGAUAACAGAGAUGUUAUUUUCCGCAAGGACCGUUAUAUAGGUGCUGCAUGGCUGUCGU
rnacentral:rRNA from 1 species